rnacentral:rRNA from 1 species
UUGUUGUGGUUAAAAAGCUCGUAGUUGGAUCUCGGCGGUCUGAGGGCGGUUCGCUUGAUUGAGUGCUACUGCUCUAUAGGCCGUGGUUUUGCCAGAGGUCUCGGGGUGCUCUUAACCGAGUGUCCUGCGAUGCUGGCAGGUUUACUUUGAAAAAAUUAGAGUGCUCAAAGCAGGCUUUUACGCCUGAAUAUUCGUGCAUGGAAUAAUAGAAUAGGAAGUCGUUUCUAUUUUGUUGGUUUUCGGAAAUCGACUUAAUGAUUAAUAGGGACAGUCGGGGGCAUUUGUAUUCAAACGACAGAGGUGAAAUUCUUGGACCGUUUGAAGACAAACUACUGCGAAAGCAUUUGCCAAGAAUGUUUUCAUUAAUCAAGAACGAAAGUUAGAGGUUCGAAGGCGAUUAGAUACCGCCCUAGUUCUAACCAUAAACGAUGCCAGCUAGCGAUCUGCCGACGUUUUCUUUGUAGACUCGGCAGGAAGCUUCCGGGAAACCAAAGCAUUUGGGUUCCAGGGGAAGUAUGGUUGCAAAGCUGAAACUUAAAGGAAUUGACGGAAGGGCACCACCAGGAGUGGAGCCUGUGGCUUAAUUUGACUCAACACGGGAAAUCUCACCAGGCCCGGACACUGGAAGGAUUGACAGAUUGAUAGCUCUUUCU